rnacentral:lncRNA from 1 species
UUGGGGUACAUGAGGUUGAUGAAAACAGUGAAGAUGAAUGGAAGUUUGGGGUCUUAGGGAAAGAAGAACGUGAAAAGAGAGGAAUGAAAGUGGAAGGUGGAGAUGGGAACAUUACAAAUCACUAAACAAAAGGCAAGAAAUGUUGGAGCAUGCAUGGCUUACGUAAAUAAUGAAUAGAAGACUAGAAGAGAGUGAUGGCUGGGACUUUGUGUUGAAAAAAAAAAAAGGGGAGAGAUGGUGAAGGUGCUGCAUUGUUGACGUGAAAAGAGGAAGGAAGAUGGGUGCUUGCUUGUGACGUGAAAUGUGAGAAAAGAAUGAGAGAGAUUUUGGGGUUGAAAAGUCAAAGAGAGAUAAAAUAAAAAUGGUAUCAGAGCCUAGCCUCUCCCAGUACGGUGUGGUUCGAGGACGAACCCAGCGGAAGCUGGUGGGCAUGUGAC